rnacentral:rRNA from 1 species
GAUACCCUGGUAGUCCACGCAGUAAACGAUGAAUGCUAAUUGUCCGUUGCGAGUGAGCGAUGGGUGAUACAGCGAAAGCGUUAAGCAUUCCACCUGGGGAGUACGCCGGCAACGGUGAAACUCAAAGGAAUUGACGGGGGCCCGCACAAGCGGAGGAACAUGUGGUUUAAUUCGAUGAUACGCGAGGAACCUUACCCGGGCUCAAACGCCGUCUGACGUAGGCUGAAAGGCUUAUUUCUUCGGACAGACGGCGAGGUGCUGCAUGGUUGUCGUCAGCUCGUGCCGUGAGGUGUCGGCUUAAGUGCCAUAACGAGCGCAACCCCUGUCGACAGUUGCUAACAGGUUAAGCUGAGGACUCUGUCGAGACUGCCGGCGCAAGCUGUGAGGAAGGCGGGGAUGACGUCAAAUCAGCACGGCCCUUACGUCCGGGGCGACACACGUGUUACAAUGGCAGGUACAGCGGGAAGCCACCCGGCGACGGGGCGCGGAACCCGAAAACCUGUCUCAGUUCGGAUUGGAGUCUGCAACCCGACUCCAUGAAGCUGGAUUCGCUAGUAAUCGCGCAUCAGCCACGGCGCGGUGAAUACGUUCCCGGGCCUUGUACACACCGCCCGUCAAGCCAUGGAAGCCGGGGGUACCUGAAGUACGUGACCGCAAGGAGCGUCCUAAGGUAAAACCGGUGACUGGGGCUAAGUCGUAACAAGGUAGC